rnacentral:rRNA from 1 species
GCUGGCGGCAUGCCUAACACAUGCAAGUCGAACGGCAGCACGGGAGCUUGCUCCUGGUGGCGAGUGGCGGACGGGUGAGUAAUGCAUAGGAAUCUGCCUAGUAGUGGGGGACAACCUGGGGAAACUCAGGCUAAUACCGCAUAAGCCCUACGGGGGAAAGUGGGGGAUCUU